UACGUAGGUGGCAAGCGUUGUCCGGAUUUACUGGGCGUAAAGAGUGCGCAGGCGGCUGGGCAAGUCCGAUGUGAAAGCUUCCGGCUUAACUGGAAAAUUGCAUCGGAAACUGCUCGGCUUGAAGGUGGGAGAGGGUAGCGGAAUUCCUGGUGUAGCGGUGAAAUGCGCAGAUAUCAGGAGGAACACCGAUGGCGAAGGCAGGUCUCUGGGCCACUACUGACGCUGAGAAGCGAAAGCAUGGGGAGCGAACAGG
rnacentral:rRNA from 1 species